AGACGGAGGGCGCAAACGUUGUUCGGAAUCACUGGGCAUAAAGAGCACGUAGGCGGCUUGCUAAGUCGGAUGUGAAAGCCCUCGGCCCAACCGGGGAACUGCAUCCGAUACUGGCAGGCUCGAGGACGGUAGGGGUAAGUGGAACUCCAGGUGGAACGGUGAAAUGUGUAGAUAUCUGGAGGAACACCGGUGGCGAAAGCGGCUUACUGGACCGUCUCUGACGCUGAGGUGCGAAAGCUAGGGUAGCGAACGGGAUUAGAAACCCCAGUAGUCC
rnacentral:rRNA from 1 species